rnacentral:rRNA from 1 species
UACGAAGGGUGCAAACGUUGCUCGGAAUUACUGGGCGUAAAGGGCUCGUAGGUGGCCAACUAAGUCAGACGUGAAAUCCCCAGGCUCAACUUGGGAACUGCGUCUGAUACUGGAUGGCUUGAAUUCGGGAGAGGGAUGCAGAAUUCCAGGUGUAGCGGUGGAAUGCGCAGAUAUCAGGAAGAACACCGACGGCGAAGGCAGCUCGCUGGGACGGUACUGACGCUGAGGCGCGAAAGCGUGGGGAGCGAACAGG